ACACGAACCAAGGAGUGCAACAUGCGUGCGAGUCUUUGGGUGGCAAACCCAGCGGCGCAAUGAAAGUGAAGGCAGGCAGUGGUCUGCCGAGGCGAGAGUCUCCCCUCGAGACGCAUCGUCGACCGAUCCCAGGUCACGCCGUGGCGGGAUUUGAGUGAGAGCGUGCCUGUUGCGACCCGAAAGAUGGUGAACUAUGCCUGAAUAGGGUGAAGCCAGAGGAAACUCUGGUGGAAGCUCGUAGCGAUUCUGACGUGCAAAUCGAUCGUCAAAUUUGGGUAUAGGGGCGAAAGACUAAUCGAACCAUCUAGUAGCUGGUUCCCUCCGAAGUUUCCCUCAGGAUAGCUGGAGCCCGGUGCAGUUUUAUCAGGUAAAGCGAAUGAUUAGAGGUCUUGGGGUUGAAACAACCUCAACCUAUUCUCAAACUUUAAAUGGGUAAGAAGCUCGGCUUGCUUAAUUGAAGUCGGGCAUCGAAUGCCGGGGUUCCUAGUGGGCCAUUUUUGGUAAGCAGAACUGGCGAUGUGGGAUGAACCAAAUGCUGGGUUAAGGUGCCCGAAUCGACGCUCAUCAGAUACCAUGAAAGGUGUUGGUUGAUCUAGACAGCAGGACGGUGGCCAUGGAAGUCGGAAUCCGCUAGGG
rnacentral:rRNA from 1 species